rnacentral:tRNA from 1 species
GCCAGCGUAGCUCAGCUGGUAGAGCUACUGAUUUGUAAUCAGUGGGUCGGGGGUUCAAGUCCCUCCGCUGGCU